rnacentral:snRNA from 1 species
GUCGAUCCGGGCGGAGGA